GAGGAGCUUGCUCCUCUGAUUUAGCGGCGGACGGGUGAGUAACACGUGGGUAACCUGCCUGUAAGACGGGGAUAACUCCGGGAAACCGGAGCUAAUACCGGAUGAUAACGAGAAGCGCCUGCUUCUUUUUUGAAAGUCGGUUUCGGCUGACGCUUACAGAUGGGCCCGCGGCGCAUUAGCUAGUUGGUGAGGUAACGGCUCACCAAGGCGACGAUGCGUAGCCGACCUGAGAGGGUGAUCGGCCACACUGGGACUGAGACACGGCCCAGACUCCUACGGGAGGCAGCAGUAGGGAAUCUUCGGCAAUGGACGAAAGUCUGACCGAGCAACGCCGCGUGAGCGAUGAAGGCCUUCGGGUCGUAAAGCUCUGUUGUCAGAGAAGAACAAGUACCGGAGUAACUGCCGGUACCUUGACGGUACCUGACCAGAAAGCCACGGCUAACUACGUGCCAGCAGCCGCGGUAAUACGUAGGUGGCAAGCGUUAUCCGGAAUUAUUGGGCGUAAAGCGCGCGCAGGCGGUCUUUUAAGUCUGAUGUGAAAGCCCACGGCUCAACCGUGGAGGGUCAUUGGAAACUGGGAGACUUGAGUGCAGGAGAGAAAAGUGGAAUUCCACGUGUAGCGGUGAAAUGCGUAGAGAUGUGGAGGAAC
rnacentral:rRNA from 1 species